AUUGAACGCUAGCGGGAUGCUUUACACAUGCAAGUCGAACGGUAGCACGAAGAAAGCUUGCUUUCUUUGGUGACGAGUGGCGAACGGGUGAGUAAUGUAUCGGAACGUACCCAGUAGCGGGGGAUAACUACGCGAAAGCGUGGCCAAUACCGCAUACGCCCUACGGGGGAAAGGGGGGGAUCGCAAGACCUCUCACUAUUGGAGCGGCCGAUAUCGGAUUAGCUAGUUGGUGGGGUAAAGGCCCACCAAGGCGACGAUCCGUAGCUGGUUUGAGAGGACGACCAGCCACACUGGGACUGAGACACGGCCCAGACUCCUACGGGAGGCAGCAGUGGGGGAUUUUGGACAAUGGGGGCAACCCUGAUCCAGCCAUCCCGCGUGUGCGAUGAAGGCCUUCGGGUUGUAAAGCACUUUUGGCAGAGAAGAAACGACUCUGGAUAAUACCCGGGGUUAAUGACGGUAUCUGCAGAAUAAGCACCGGCUAACUACGUGCCAGCAGCCGCGGUAA
rnacentral:rRNA from 1 species